rnacentral:tRNA from 1 species
AGUUAUAAAGCUACACGGACAAGCAUGUGUUUUGAAAACACAAGUAAAGGAGUUAAACCCUCCUAAUAACUU